AUUGAACGCUGGCGGCAUGCUUUACACAUGCAAGUCGAACGGUAACAGGUUAAGCUGACGAGUGGCGAACGGGUGAGUAAUGCAUCGGAACGUGCCCGAUCGUGGGGGAUAACGCAGCGAAAGCUGCGCUAAUACCGCAUACGAUCUGAGGAUGAAAGCGGGGGACCGUAAGGCCUCGCGCGAUCGGAGCGGCCGAUGUCAGAUUAGGUAGUUGGUGGGGUAAAGGCCCACCAAGCCGACGAUCUGUAGCUGGUCUGAGAGGACGACCAGCCACACUGGGACUGAGACACGGCCCAGACUCCUACGGGAGGCAGCAGUGGGGAAUUGUGGACAAUUGGCGAAAGCCUGAUCCAGCAAUGCCGCGUGCAGGAAGAAGGCCUUCGGGUUGUAAACUGCUUUUGUACGGAGCGAAAAGGUCCUUUCUAAUACAGGGGGCUCAUGACGGUACCGUAAGAAUAAGCACCGGCUAACUACGUGCCAGCAGCCGCAGUAA
rnacentral:rRNA from 1 species